UUUAUUUCCUAAGGAUUAUGUAUAAAAUUAAAAUAUUUGGCGGCUAUUUAUAUUAAAGGGAUUUGCUUUUUAUCGAUUUACCUCGUUAUGUUUUAUUUAAUUUAUUUUUGUAUACCGUCAUCUAGAUAAUUUUUAUAAGAUUAAUUAUGUAAAUAAUUUACUAUAUGUUAGAUCAAGGUGCAGAUAUUAUUAAUUCUAAGUUAAUGACAAUAAUUAU
rnacentral:rRNA from 1 species